rnacentral:lncRNA from 1 species
CCGUUUCUUUCAGCCUCCGGAUUAGUUACAGGGGACCCGUUUUAUAGCUUUUUUGUGUAGUAUUGGACACAGCGCCAUCUCGCGUUGUUCAGUGGAAGGUCCGGGACCAUCGACUUGCUAUCGUUGGGCUCCGCAGUCGACGACUUUCCACCAGUAACCGGAGGAUGGUGUGUGCCGAUAUUAUACGGAAGGCUAUAUCUUGGAGUCCCUUGUCAAGUAGCUGCUGAAGAAUGUUGGUGUCAAUAUUUAAUACACAUCGGGAAUUUUCAGUCAGUCUCCUGUCCUUGGAUUUGUUAAUAAGUUGCAUUUUGGGUGUGCGACGGCGGCGUCAUCUAACGGACGAUUGAGGUUGUACUGGCUUUGUCCGUGACGUAGGCGUUGAAUUGGGCGAUUUAUAUAGUCCUGCGCCUGCGAGCUGCCGCAUUCCCCAGACAGCGCUCCGCCGAGCGGGUGUGUCCACACCUUCAAUUUUUAGUGUGAAUUUCGGGCGGUUUAUAAGCGUGUGACCGGUGGCCCGCAACUCCGUCGCACGCGCCGCCAAAUCUUCGUAAAUUUUUAUUCUGGUAAGUAAGUUAUACAUUUCUGUCAUCUGUCGUGACUCGUGAGUGUUAGUGUUUGCGGUCAGGAUUCUAAUGUGCGAUUUGUUCCGAAUAGGUGUGGUUUUGGUGUCCGUGGCGUGGACACGUUGCUCCGCCAUUUUGUCCCAGCGUCGUGGCAUCGACGUCAUCGUACGUUGGCCGCAUACGUGGCUUCUCGACCUCCGACAGGUGAGUCUUUUUAUACGAUUUUGGGGAGUUAGUUGGGUUGUGCCUCCGCCCCUAGAGGUUUAAUUUACCCCUGUGUGUUUUGUCCACAGGAGGUGUUUUGGGAUGGCUGUUUUGUGAUGGCUGUUUUGAGACGUCUGUUUUGAGACGUCUGUUUUGAGACGUCUGUUUUACGAAGGCUGUUCUGUUCUAUGACGGGUGUUUUGUACAGCUGUUCUGCUACAGCUACAGCUUAUUGGUAGCUGCUCCUAGUCGGCUCGGCUUCCUUCCCGCCGCCGAGGGCAAACGAGCUAGGGAGGUUUUUAUAAUACCUUUCUUAUUUUUUUAAUAAUGCUUAACGAAUGACCAGUGGCCUUGAAUACCUGGAAUGUACCCUUAGGAUUUAAAAGUUCCAAAUACCUAUUUAUAUUUUUGUGUAACUUUGGUUUUCUUAGUGAUUAAUAAAUUCGAGUAAACCCA